GCAAGUCGAGCGGGCACCUUCGGGUGUCAGCGGCAGACGGGUGAGUAACACGUGGGAACGUACCCUUCGGUUCGGAAUAACGCUGGGAAACUAGCGCUAAUACCGGAUACGCCCUUAUGGGGAAAGGUUUACUGCCGAAGGAUCGGCCCGCGUCUGAUUAGCUAGUUGGUGGGGUAACGGCCUACCAAGGCGACGAUCAGUAGCUGGUCUGAGAGGAUGAUCAGCCACACUGGGACUGAGACACGGCCCAGACUCCUACGGGAGGCAGCAGUGGGGAAUAUUGGACAAUGGGCGCAAGCCUGAUCCAGCCAUGCCGCGUGAGUGAUGAAGGCCUUAGGGUUGUAAAGCUCUUUUGUCCGGGACGAUAAUGACGGUACCGGAAGAAUAAGCCCCGGCUAACUUCGUGCCAGCAGCCGCGGUAAUACGAAGGGGGCUAGCGUUGCUCGGAAUCACUGGGCGUAAAGGGCGCGUAGGCGGCCAUUCAAGUCGGGGGUGAAAGCCUGUGGCUCAACCACAGAAUUGCCUUCGAUACUGUUUGGCUUGAGUAUGGCAGAGGUCAGUGGAACUGCGAGUGUAGAGGUGAAAUUCGUAGAUAUUCGCAAGAACACCAGUGGCGAAGGCGGCUGACUGGGCCAUUACUGACGCUGAGGCGCG
rnacentral:rRNA from 1 species